rnacentral:rRNA from 1 species
GCUAGUAAUGGCAGGUCAGCAUACUGCCGUGAAUACGUUCCCGGGCCUGUACACACCGCCCGUCACACCAUGAGAGUUGGGAAUACCCGAAGCCUGUGAGCUAACAUUAAGAGGCAGCAGUCGAAGGUAGAAUCAAUGAUUGGGUGAAGUCGUAACAAGGUAUC